rnacentral:rRNA from 1 species
CCUACGGGAGGCAGCAGUGAGGAAUAUUGGUCAAUGGACGCAAGUCUGAACCAGCCAUGCCGCGUGCAGGAAGACGGCUCUAUGAGUUGUAAACUGCUUUUGUACGAGGGUAAACUCAGAUACGCGUAUCUGUCUGAACGUAUCGUACGAAUAAGGAUCGGCUAACUCCGUGCCAGCAGCCGCGGUAAUAAGGAGGAUUCAAGCGUUAUCCGGAUUUAUUGGGGUUAAAGGGUGCGUAGGCGGUCGGAUAAGUUAGCGGUGAAAUCCCGAGGCUCAACUUCGGAAUUGCCUCUGAUACUGUUAGGCUAGAGAGUAGUUGCGGUAGGCGGAAUGUAUGGUGUAGCGGUGAAAUGCUUAGAUAUCAUACAGAACACCGAUUGCGAAGGCAGCUUACCAAGCUACUUCUGACGUUGAGGCACGAAAGCGUGGGGAGCAAACAGGAUUAGAUACCCGGGUAGUC